rnacentral:rRNA from 1 species
GAUGAACGCUGGCGGCGUGCCUAAUACAUGCAAGUCGAGCGAACGGACGAGAAGCUUGCUUCUCUGAUGUUAGCGGCGGACGGGUGAGUAACACGUGGAUAACCUACCUAUAAGACUGGGAUAACUUCGGGAAACCGGAGCUAAUACCGGAUGAUAUUUUGAACCGCAUGGUUCAAAAGUGAAAGACGGUCUUGCUGUCACUUAUAGAUGGAUCCGCGCUGCAUUAGCUAGUUGGUAAGGUAACGGCUUACCAAGGCAACGAUGCAUAGCCGACCUGAGAGGGUGAUCGGCCACACUGGAACUGAGACACGGUCCAGACUCCUACGGGAGGCAGCAGUAGGGAAUAUUCCGCAAUGGGCGAAAGCCUGACGGAGCAACGCCGCGUGAGUGAUGAAGGUCUUCGGAUCGUAAAGCUCUGUUAUUAGGGAAGAACAUAUGUGUAAGUAACUGUGCACAUCUUGACGGUACCUAAUCAGAAAGCCACGGCUAACUACGUG